rnacentral:rRNA from 1 species
AACGAACGCUGGCGGCAGGCUUAACACAUGCAAGUCGAGCGCCCCGCAAGGGGAGCGGCAGACGGGUGAGUAACGCGUGGGAACGUACCCUUUGCUACGGAAUAGCUCCGGGAAACUGGAAUUAAUACCGUAUGUGCCCUACGGGGGAAAGAUUUAUCGGCAAAGGAUCGGCCCGCGUUGGAUUAGCUAGUUGGUGGGGUAAUGGCCUUCCAAGGCGACGAUCCAGAGCUGGUCUGAGAGGAUGAUCAGCCACAGUGGGACUGAGACACGGCCAAAGCGCCUACGGGAGGCAGCAGUGGGGAAUAUUGGACAAUGGGCGCAAGCCUGUUCCAGCCAUGCCGCGUGGGUGAUGAAGGCCUUAGGGUUGUAAAGCUCUUUCACCGGAGAAGAUAAUGACGGUAUCCGGAGAAGAAGCCCCGGCUAACUUCGUGCCAGCAGCCGCCGUAAUAC